UACGGGGGGGAGCAAGCGUUGUUCGGAUUUACUGGGCGUAAAGGGCGGGUAGGCGGCCACCGCAAGUCAGUUGUGAAAUCUCUGGGCUUAACCCAGAAAGGUCAACUGAUACUGCGGGGCUAGAGUGCAGAAGGGGCAACUGGAAUUCUCGGUGUAGCGGUGAAAUGCGUAGAUAUCGAGAGGAACACCUGCGGCGAAGGCGGGUUGCUGGGCUGACACUGACGCUGAACUGCGAAAGCUAGGGGGAGCGAACGGG
rnacentral:rRNA from 1 species